CAACAUUGGAGCAGCUACCAUGCAGUCGAGCGGUAGCACAGAGAGCUUGCUCUCGGGUGACGAGCGGCGGACGGGUGAGUAAUGUCUGGGAAACUGCCUGAUGGAGGGGGAUAACUACUGGAAACGGUAGCUAAUACCGCAUAACGUCGCAAGACCAAAGAGGGGGACCUUCGGGCCUCUUGCCAUCAGAUGUGCCCAGAUGGGAUUAGCUAGUAGGUGGGGUAACGGCUCACCUAGGCGACGAUCCCUAGCUGGUCUGAGAGGAUGACCAGCCACACUGGAACUGAGACACGGUCCAGACUCCUACGGGAGGCAGCAGUGGGGAAUAUUGCACAAUGGGCGCAAGCCUGAUGCAGCCAUGCCGCGUGUAUGAAGAAGGCCUUCGGGUUGUAAAGUACUUUCAGCGGGGAGGAAGGUGCUGAGGUUAAUAACCUCAGCAAUUGACGUUACCCGCAGAAGAAGCACCGGCUAACUCCGUGCCAGCAGCCGCGGUAAUACGGAGGGUGCAAGCGUUAAUCGGAAUUACUGGGCGUAAAGCGCACGCAGGCGGUCUGUCAAGUCGGAUGUGAAAUCCCCGGGCUCAACCUGGGAACUGCAUUCGAAACUGGCAGGCUAGAGUCUUGUAGAGGGGGGUAGAAUUCCAGGUGUAGCGGUGAAAUGCGUAGAGAUCUGGAGGAAUACCGGUGGCGAAGGCGGCCCCCUGGACAAAGACUGACGCUCAGGUGCGAAAGCGUGGGGAGCAAACAGGAUUAGAUACCCUGGUAGUCCACGCCGUAACGAUGUCGACUUGGAGGUUGUGCCCUUGAGGCGUGGCUUCCGGAGCUAACGCGUUAAGUCGACCGCCUGGGGAGUACGGCCGCAAGGUUAAAACUCAAAUGAAUUGACGGGGGGCCCGCACAAGCGGUGGAGCAUGUGGUUUAAUUCGAUGCAACGCGAAGAACCUUACCUACUCUUGACAUCCAGAGAACUUACCAGAGAUGCUUUGGUGCCUUCGGGGACUCUGAGACAGGUGCUGCAUGGCUGUCGUCAGCUCGUGUUGUGAAAUGUUGGGUUAAGUCCCGCAACGAGCGCAACCCUUAUCCUUUGGUUGCCAGGCGGGUCCGGCCC
rnacentral:rRNA from 1 species